CCAGAGAACUUAGCAGAGAUGCUUUGGUGCCUUCGGGAACUCUGAGACAGGUGCUGCAUGGCUGUCGUCAGCUCGUGUUGUGAAAUGUUGGGUUAAGUCCCGCAACGAGCGCAACCCUUAUCCUUUGUUGCCAGCGGCUCGGCCGGGAACUCAAAGGAGACUGCCGGUGAUAAACCGGAGGAAGGUGGGGAUGACGUCAAGUCAUCAUGGCCCUUACGGCCAGGGCUACACACGUGCUACAAUGGCGCAUACAAAGAGAAGCGACCUCGCGAGAGCAAGCGGACCUCAUAAAGUGCGCCGUAGUCCGGAUUGGAGUCUGCAACUCGACUCCAUGAAGUCGGAAUCGCUAGUAAUCGUAGAUCAGAAUGCUACGGUGAAUACGUUCCCGGGCCUUGUACACACCGCCCGUCACACCAUGGGAGUGGGUUGCAAAAGAAGUAGGUAGCUUAACCUUCGGGAGGGCGCUUACCACUUUGUGAUUCAUGACUGGGGUGAAGUCGUAACAAGGUAAGCGUAGCGAG
rnacentral:rRNA from 1 species